GACGAACGCUGGCGGCGUGCUUAACACAUGCAAGUCGAACGGAAAGGCCCUGCUUUUGUGGGGUGCUCGAGUGGCGAACGGGUGAGUAACACGUGAGUAACCUGCCCUUGACUUUGGGAUAACUUCAGGAAACUGGGGCUAAUACCGGAUAGGAGCUCCUGCUGGAUGGUGGGGGUUGGAAAGUUUCGGCGGUUGGGGAUGGACUCGCGGCUUAUCAGCUUGCUGGUGGGGUAGUGGCUUACCAAGGCUUGGACGGGUAGCCGGCCUGAGAGGGUGACCGGCCACAUUGCGCCUGAGAUAGGGCGCAGACUCGUACGGGAGGCAGCAGUGGGGAAUAUUGCACAGUGGGAGGAAGCCUGAUGCAGAAGCGCCGCGUGCGGGAUGACGGCCUGCGGGUUGUGAACCGCAUUAGCCUGUGACGAAGCGGGAGUGACGGUAAUGGGUGAAGAAGCACCGGCUAACUACGUG
rnacentral:rRNA from 1 species